GUGGGGAAUUUUGGACAAUGGGCGCAAGCCUGAUCCAGCAAUGCCGCGUGUGUGAAGAAGGCCUUCGGGUUGUAAAGCACUUUUGGCAGGAAAGAAAUAGUGCGUGCUAAUACCAUGCGCGAAUGACGGUACCUGCAGAAUAAGCACCGGCUAACUACGUGCCAGCAGCCGCGGUAAGACGUAGGGUGCAAGCGUUAAUCGGAAUUACUGGGCGUAAAGCGUGCGCAGGCGGUUUUGUAAGACAGGUGUGAAAUCCCCGGGCUCAACCUGGGAACUGCACUUGUGACUUAAAGGCUAGAGUGUGUCAGAGGGAGGUGGAAUUCCGCGUGUAGCAGUGAAAUGCGUAGAGAUGCGGAGGAACACCGAUGGCGAAGGCAGCCUCCUGGGAUAACACUGACGCUCAGGCACGAAAGCGUGGGGAGCAAACAGGAUUAGAUACCCGGGUAGUCC
rnacentral:rRNA from 1 species